rnacentral:rRNA from 1 species
UACGGGGGGGGGCAAGCGUUGUUCGGAAUUACUGGGCGUAAAGGGCUCGUAGGCGGCCAACUAAGUCGGAUGUGAAAUCCCCAGCUUAACCUGGGAACUGCAUCCGAUACUGGAUGGCUUGAAUCCGGGAGAGGGAUGCGGAAUUCCAGGUGUAGCGGUGAAAUGCGUAGAUAUCUGGAGGAACACCGGUGGCGAAGGCGGCAUCCUGGACCGGCAUUGACGCUGAGGAGCGAAAGCCAGGGGAGCAAACGGG